GCUCCUCCUCUGGGUCCCAAGACCAGCGGCUGGAAGCCGGAGUGAUUGAAGGAACAGGUAUCUGAAGACAGAGAAGACAGACAUGCAAGAUAGAUGUGACGCGAACUCCAGUUGAAUCCCAGGUCGCCUGAAAGCCAAAGUCUUUGCUGCUGUUGGGCUUCUGGUUUAGGCUGAUCCGCAUCUCACAGUAGCUCUCCUAGAAACCAAACAUCAACACAGUAGGUCAUUUGAGUACCUGGCUGCUAUCUUUGGCUGGAGCAGGACUGACUGGAGCUUCACUCUUGACCUCAGCUGGGACAGGUG